rnacentral:misc_RNA from 1 species
GUAGGUGAACCUGCGGAAGGAUCAUUACCACAUUUUUGUGUUUUGGGUGCAUUCACGUGCAUCCAGACACAAAAAAACUAUCUAUACAAAAACUAUACCAAUCAUGUGUGAGGCAAAAGAAAUUGAUCUUGGUGGCUUUUGAACUCUUGAGGGAAAAAGCCGCCCAAUUUUUGUAACAAACACUCUUUAUUCUAAACGAACACUAAACCAAAUCUUUUUCAGUCUUUUUCUUUAGUGUAAAAAGGCCAAAAAACCAAAUGAGAUAAAACUUUUAACGGUGGAUCUCUUGGCUCGU